UUAUGAAUGUUGAAUUUUUUUUUUUUUUGUUUCAAAGAAAAGAUUAUAAAUGAUUACUGAUGUAGAAUAUUUGCAAAAUUAUUCUUUUAGAAUUUAAUAUUGAAAAAGAUAGAAAAUAACUUGAAGGUCAAGAUCUAGUAUUCAAGUUGCGAUUGUGCUACAACAGAAUUUUACAGUUUUCAAUUUUAAGUCAGAUUUGUGCUGUAAUAACGAGCUUUUAGAAUUUUCGAGUCUCCGAGGUUUAAGAAUCUUUUAUGAUUUAUGCAAAAAAAAGGUGAGAAAAAGAAGUUUUUUUUUUUUUUUGAAUGUUUU
rnacentral:lncRNA from 1 species